AGAGCUCAGCAUGACUCAUACAAUAGGCGAGUUUCGAGAUUAGUUAUGUUCCAGGAAUUAGUUCGAUAAAAAACUUUAUCUCUCGCGGGGGAGGUAGACUAAGUAAUUCGACUGAAAUUUUUUUCAAAAAGUUACAAAGAAUGGGAAUGGAAUACAUAGCAAGAUCAACAUCCACAUUCUUGUUUAUUCAAUUGUUAGAGAGAAAAAUAUAUUUUAUUUCUU
rnacentral:lncRNA from 1 species